GCCGGGUAUGGUGGUGCAUGCCUGUAAUCCCAGCUACUCAGGAGGCUGAGGCAGGAGAAUCACUUGAAUCCAGGAGGCGGAGGUUGCAGUGAGCUGAGAUGGUGCCACUGCACUCCAGCCUGGGUGACAGAGUGAGACUCAGUCUCAG
rnacentral:SRP_RNA from 1 species